GAUGAACGCUGGCGGCGUGCCUAAUACAUGCAAGUCGAGCGAACAGACGAGGAGCUUGCUCCUCUGACGUUAGCGGCGGACGGGUGAGUAACACGUGGAUAACCUACCUAUAAGACUGGGAUAACUUCGGGAAACCGGAGCUAAUACCGGAUAAUAUAUUGAACCGCAUGGUUCAAUAGUGAAAGACGGUUUUGCUGUCACUUAUAGAUGGAUCCGCGCCGCAUUAGAUAGUUGGUAAGGUAACGGCUUACCAAGGCAACGAUGCGUAGCCGACCUGAGAGGCUGAUCGGCCACACGGGAACUGAGACACGGUCCAGACUCCUACGGGAGGCAGCAGUAGGGAAUCUGACGCAAUGGGCGAAAGCCUGACGGAGCAACGCCGCGUGAGUGAUGAAGGUCUUCGGAGCGUAAAACUCUGUUAUUAGGGAAGAACAAAUGUGUAAGUAACUAUGCACGUCUUGACGGUACCUAAUCAGAAAGCAACGGCUAACUACGUG
rnacentral:rRNA from 1 species